rnacentral:rRNA from 1 species
GACGAACGCUGGCGGCGUGCUUAACACAUGCAAGUCGAACGGUGAAGCGAGUGCUUGCACUCGUGGAUCAGUGGCGAACGGGUGAGUAACACGUGAGUAACCUGCCCAUCACUCUGGGAUAAGCACUGGAAACGGUGUCUAAUACUGGAUACGACCAACCCUUGCAUGGGGUGUUGGUGGAAAGAUUUAUCGGUGAUGGAUGGACUCGCGGCCUAUCAGCUUGUUGGCGGGGUAAUGGCCCACCAAGGCGACGACGGGUAGCCGGCCUGAGAGGGUGACCGGCCACACUGGGACUGAGACACGGCCCAGACUCCUACGGGAGGCAGCAGUGGGGAAUAUUGCACAAUGGGCGAAAGCCUGAUGCAGCGGCGCCGCGUGAGGGAUGACGGCCUUCGGGUUGUAAACCUCUUUCAGCAGGGAAGAAGCGAAAGUGACGGUACCUGAAGAAGAAGCACCGGCUAACUACGUG